rnacentral:sRNA from 1 species
CAGUACAAACGGCGGGGAAUGAUUGCACGCAUAGGCAGUUCAAUGGAAACUUGAACGUAUUUCGAUUAUGGUGAUGGUGGUGAACACGGAUGAAGUGCUCUGUAUAUAAAUAAAUGUCCGUUAACGUGUCUAACCCACGGCUGAAUUGACCAACUCGAAUCACAAUAGCAGCUUGAGGACCAGCAAAAUGGGAAUCCAUCCCUUCUAUAAUAUUCCAAUGGGGGUUGUGAUAGUAGUAAUAAGCGCAAGGAAUGUAAAACCCCAACGUGUUGAAACGCUUCGAUUGUAGAAUUUCUUUAGAAAACUAGAUAGAACACACCCAAUCCAAAGAAGAAAAAAAGGAAAGAAAAGAAAAGAAAUAUGCAUAAUUUGUUAUUCAUGAGAUGUCAUAUGGUUUGCCUAAUGAUGAAGAGGUAGGAGGAAUAUGAGUCGGUUGAUCAACCAUAUAAUCGAGA